AAGCCUUGCUCUCUGCUGUGCUGUCUACUACUGUGGUGUUGGUAGGUGAUGUUUCCAGUCCUGCUGCAUCUGAAAUCUUCUUACUCCUCUCUCCUGACGGUUCUAGGACACAAACACACUGUGUCAGGUUUCCCUGUCACGCAGUAACACACACCACAACACACAGUGUCAGGUUUCCCUGUCACGCAGUAACACACACCACAACACACAGUGUCAGGUUUCCCUGUCACGCAGUAACACACACCACAACACACAGUGUCAGGUUUCCCUGUCAUGCAGUAACACACACACACACACACACAGUGUCAGGUUUCCCUGUCACGCAGUAACACACACCACAACACACAGUGUCAGGUUUCCCUGUCAAGCAGUAACACACACACACACACAGUGUCAGGUUUCCCUGUCAUGCAGUAACACACACACACACACACACAGUGUCAGGUUUCCCUGUCACGCAGUAACACACACACACACACACACACAGUGUCAGGUUUCCCUGUCACGCAGUCACACACACACACACACACACACACACACACACACACACACACACACACACACACACAGUGUCAGGUUUCCCUGUCACGCAGUAACACACACACACACACAGUGUCAGGUUUCCCUGUCAUGCAGUAACACACACCACAACACACAGUGUCAGGUUUCCCUGUCACACAGUAACACACACACACACACACAGUGUCAGGUUUCCCUGUCACGCAGUAACACACACACACAACACAGUGUCAGGUUUCCCUGUCACACCGUAGCACACACACACACACACAGCUGUUCCUUUAAUAAAUGCCUACAGUCUUAUCAUUUCAGGGCCAUUUGUGGAACAGUGUACACCUCCAGCAGACUAACUAGGAAACCUAAUAAAACCAAGCAGGCUAAAAGAUCAGCUUGGAGAAGUGUCAGAUGAAUACUA